UCCCCAUCCAUCCUCCUGCCCGCCGCCACCUGCCUGCCUUCUCUUUCCUCGGGAUCUCACCCGAUCCAAUCCACCAACCAGCGCUCCCCCAUGGCCCUCCUCGAUCCUCAUCACUCGCAGCCUCCAACACCCAUCGACCAAUCCAGCCGAGGGCCUCGUCCCCGAGCCGACCUCCAUGGAAGAGGUGCAGCGCUCCGCCCCUCUCUGCCUUGCGUCGGAGCACCUGCCGCAUCGAGCGCCCGCAGCUCCAUUCCCAUGAAAUGAAAGGGGCUCGCCCUUGAUGUCGUGGCCGCCGGCGACCGAAGCCGCCGUGUGUCCUCUCCUUCCCGUCCCUGCCGUCCCCGUCGGGGUUGACCUCCAGCGCCGCCAAGCCAAGUCCCUCGUCUUGCCUCCCUUCAUUCCCAGCUACCCCAGCGACCCUGCGUCCCUGACAUAGCCCGCGCCAAGUCCUCGCAAGCCGCCGCCCGGAGCAGGCCGCCUCCUCACCUCGUCCGCAUCGCCGGGAUCGCGUCAAGUUCACCACCGUCGCCCAAGUCCCUCGCCUCGCCGCCCCUUCGCCCUGCUCGCUGCAACCUUGCGCGUCUGCAACUAUGCGGGGCAUCGCUCCCGAGCGCAUUGGCCACGCCCUUCCCCAGCGGCCUCGCUCAGCCUUUGCCUCGAUUCGGCCGAGCGCCGCUGCCUCCCCUGCCGACUUGAACCCCGCCGGAUCCGGUGACCCUUGCCGCCGCCGUCGCCAAGAACCUCGCCGGAGAACCAUGUCCCGCUUCUGGAACCGCUCAUCUCCGUCGCCUGCCGCCGCUCUGAACCUGCGCCUCCGCAGUCUCUACAUCCCGUGUGCGUGCGAGCCAAAGCCUGUGGCCGCGCGAGGGCCGCAUCGCAUUGACUGAGGCCCAGCAACGUUCUUCAUUCCCCAGGCCGACCCUUCUUCUUCAAUCGGGCCAAGGCCCAUGUUGAGGCAAACCCCCCAGUUAGUUUUUUUCCCUUCCUUUGGCCCAGCUAGUUUCGGCCCAUGUAUGUUUUUUUUCACUGCCUGGUUUUUUGCUAAUUAA